rnacentral:rRNA from 1 species
CAUCUCUUAAUGAAUAAAAUAUUAAGUUGACUCUGCCCAAUGAUUAUUUUAAUGGCUGCAGUAUUUUAACUGUACAAAGGUAGCAUAAUCAGUUGAUUUUUAAUUGAAAUCUAGAAUGAAAGAGGUGAUGAAAUAUCUAUUUUAUUAUAAUAAAUUUUUGAAUUUAAAAUUAAAGUAAUAAUGCUUUAAUAAAUUUAUGGGACGAGAAGACCCUAUAGAAUUUUAUAUCUAUAUUUUAAUUAAAUUUAAUAUUGUUAUUUUAUUAGAUAUUUGUUUGGGAGGAAUUUUAAAUAUAGUUAACUUUAAAUUAUUAUUUACAUUAAUAAAUGGAUUUUUAUAUGAUUUUAAUAUUUUAAUUUUUAAUUUAAAUUACCUUAGGGAUAACAGUGUAAUAUUUUUUUAAAGUUCUUAUUGAAAGAAAUGUUU